AGUAGCUUGCUACUUUGCUGACGAGCGGCGGACGGGUGAGUAAUGCCUGGGAAUAUGCCUUGAUGUGGGGGAUAACUAUUGGAAACGAUAGCUAAUACCGCAUAAUGUCUUCGGACCAAAGAGGGGGAUCUUCGGACCUCUCGCGUCAAGAUUAGCCCAGGUGAGAUUAGCUAGUUGGUGGGGUAAGAGCUCACCAAGGCGACGAUCUCUAGCUGGUCUGAGAGGAUGAUCAGCCACACUGGAACUGAGACACGGUCCAGACUCCUACGGGAGGCAGCAGUGGGGAAUAUUGCACAAUGGGCGAAAGCCUGAUGCAGCCAUGCCGCGUGUAUGAAGAAGGCCUUCGGGUUGUAAAGUACUUUCAGUCGUGAGGAAGGGUAUGCAGUUAAUAGCUGCAUAUCUUGACGUUAGCGACAGAAGAAGCACCGGCUAACUCCGUGCCAGCAGCCGCGGUAAUACGGAGGGUGCGAGCGUUAAUCGGAAUUACUGGGCGUAAAGCGCAUGCAGGUGGUUCAUUAAGUCAGAUGUG
rnacentral:rRNA from 1 species